UCGACAAUAUAUAGUUUGGUUAAAAUGACAAAACAUAAAUAAAUCACUAAACGUAUAAUGAUGGUUCGAGUUCGGUUCGCGUAAAUAUAAAGUGUCUAACAAUAUAAAAAAACCCUUCGCGCGUUUAAAUCUUUACCGAGUCUUUGAGUUGACCAUCCUUGACUUCUUAGAAUCGAGAGGGAGAGGAGAACUAAAAGGGGGAUGAGGGGCCGAUUUUGUGUUUCAUCUAUUUGUGAAGAUGGAGUCCUGCUCCAUUAAUGUGUGUGUGAUGUGA
rnacentral:lncRNA from 1 species